AGUGAACGCUGGCGGUAGGCCUAACACAUGCAAGUCGAACGGCAGCACAGUAAGAGCUUGCUCUUACGGGUGGCGAGUGGCGGACGGGUGAGGAAUACAUCGGAAUCUACUUUUUCGUGGGGGAUAACGUAGGGAAACUUACGCUAAUACCGCAUACGACCUACGGGUGAAAGCAGGGGAUCUUCGGACCUUGCGCGAUUGAAUGAGCCGAUGUCGGAUUAGCUAGUUGGCGGGGUAAAGGCCCACCAAGGCGACGAUCCGUAGCUGGUCUGAGAGGAUGAUCAGCCACACUGGAACUGAGACACGGUCCAGACUCCUGCGGGAGGCAGCAGCGGGGAAUAUUGGACAAUGGGCGCAAGCCUGAUCCAGCCAUACCGCGUGGGUGAAGAAGGCCUUCGGGUUGUAAAGCCCUUUUGUUGGGAAAGAAAAGCAGCAGGUUAAUACCCCGCUGUUCUGACGGUACCCAAAGAAUAAGCACCGGCUAACUUCGUG
rnacentral:rRNA from 1 species